GGGAACAGGGGUCUCUCUUUACAGUGAACAAAGGGAAAGGGAUAGUUGUUGGUCCGUGCAGUCUAAGCCUCAGCCUCUACUCAGUGUUUCAAUAUAACCCCAACUAUUUUCUAACUAUUUUCCUGGGCGUUUGACACUUGAGAUCCCAGAACCUUCCCUCUCUCCCUGCCCUGCUCCAAAGCACCUGCAGAGUCAGGUAAGAGGUCACGGCUAGAGGCAGGCUGCUUGGGUCUUAAGUCUCUAGACCAGCACUGCCCAACAGAAAUACAGUGCAAGCCUUGUAUGCCAUUUUAAGUGUUCUUUGCAGUCUCGUUUUUUUUAAAGGCAAAAAGGAACAGACUUAACAGAUUUUAAUAUUUUAUUUCACACAAAAUACCAAAACGGCAUGUCAAUAGCCAAUCAAUAUUUGUAAAUGAUGGGGAGUUUGCAUUCCUUUUUUCAUAGAGCCUGUAUUUUGCACUUACAGCACAUCUCAAUUUAGACUAGCCACAUUUCAAGUGCUCACUAGCCACAUGUGGCCAGUGGCUGCUCCAGUGGACAGCACAGCUCCAGAAGCCCAGGAAAAUGAGUCUCACGAGCUUCAAGGUUCACCAGCAACUACCUAUGUCAAAGCAGAAGCUCGUGGAACUGCUUGCACAAAAACAGAUGUAUUUCGACCUCAUCUCUGUGAGUCGUAGACCACGAAAUCCAGCACGACAGCCCUCUAAUUUGGUACCUCGGGUCUCCUCAGAUCCCUGUUUUCAUGACACGUCCCAGCAGUCCAGGCCAACCCAGGGUGCGAGGAGCGUCCCUGUCUCCCCCACACUCCCAUUCAGCACAAGAAGGGACAAACAGAAGAGCACAGCUACAAGGCAUCGCUGGCCAUCAUGUCACCCUCACGGUGAGUUUGAAGCCAAAUUUUAAGAAUAGAGUCUUUCAGUUCAAUCAUGAAAGUAGGUUUUUACUUCUCAAGGUCAGCUGAAUUUUCCCCCUUCAAUAAUUGUUUGGAAUUAUUCCAGAAUGGAAUAAUAGAAUUAUUCCAUUGGCGGCAUUCACUCAAACCUACAACUCAUUUGUUCAUGUCGUACAUUUCUUUUUUUUUACAUUUAUUUAUGUUUGAGGGGGCUUGGUGAGGGCAGAGAGCGAGGGAGACACAGAAUCCUAAGCAGGCUCCAGGCUCUGAGCUGUCAGCACAGAACCUGACACGCGGCUCAAACUCACGAGCCUUGAGAGCAUGACCUGAGCCGAAGUGGGACACUUAACCGACGGAGCCACCCAGGCGCCCCCAUAUUGUACAUUUCUAAACAGCAGAAAGGAAAAGGUGCUCCAAUUCACUAAUAUUUUCAACAAUUGAGGCACAACUAAGAAAAUGAAGCCAUAUUUCUCCUCUUUAUCCCUUGCCUCCUCUCCUUUGACCAACAAUUGCCAUAAUCCACACUAAUGAGGUAGACUGUGUUAAGAAUUUUCUUCACUUAACAGUUCUCAUUAUUAAUAAAUUUUACACUGACAACUAUAAAGUGAACA
rnacentral:lncRNA from 1 species